rnacentral:tRNA from 1 species
GUCACGAUAGCUCAGUCUGGUAGAGCGCUCGGUUGAAGCCCGAGGAGCACUGGUUCGAUUCCAGUUCGUGGCGCCA